rnacentral:rRNA from 1 species
AUUGAACGCUGGCGGCAGGCCUAACACAUGCAAGUCGAGCGGAGCGGCGGACGGGGGGGGAAUGACUAGGGAUCUGCCUGGUGGUGGGGGAUAACGUCCGGAAGGGGACGCUAAUACCGCAGGCUAGCAGAGGAGCUUAGGGCGGAUUAGCUAGUUGGAGGGGUAAAGGCUUACCAAGGCGACGAUGCAUAGCUGGUCUGAGAGGAUGAUCAGUCACACUGGGACUGAGACACGGCCCAGACUCCUACGGGAGGCAGCAGUGGGGAAUAUUGGGCAAUGGGCGAAAGCCUGAUCCAGCCAUGCCGCGUGUGUGAAGAAGGUCUUCGGAUCGUAAAGCACUGUUAGUUGGGAGGCGUUACCUACCCACUAAGCACCGGCUAACUUCGUGCCAGCAGCCGCGGUAAUUC